rnacentral:ncRNA from 1 species
AGAGGAAGUCCGGUGCGAAUCCGGCGCGGUCCCGCCACUGUCACCGGGGAGCGUCCUCCGACGACGGCCACGGCCCGUACCCGUACGGGCUGGAAGGCCGGAGGCCACGCCGAUCCGGGAGCCAGGAGACUC